AGUUUUCAGAGUACCCUGCUGUGGCUUUGGAAACAAAACCCACACAGAGGUCAAAUGCAGUUCUUGUGGAGUCACCUUGUCAUCCUGCUUUGUUUUGGAAGGAACUGGGUUGGAGGCAGCACAGUAGGACUACAGCAUCUUUAACGCUUGUGCCUAGCAGAGUUCCACAUAUGUGAAAUAAGAUGCUUUGGGAAAUCAUUCUCCUUUUUGCAACGUCAGUGACUUGAACCAGAAACUGAUAUUGACUCACCAGGGCUCUGACUCUUUCCAAGUUACACAUCUGGGGGCCUGAGGAACUGCCCCAUGAAUCCCCAGAGCUGCCGUGGGCAUGGAUGAGAAGCUUUGUAAGCAAUUAAUCACACAGUUAACUCAUCUGAUCACCACUGGCCACCAUCAGGCCCUCUGAAAGUGCCUAGUUGGAUGCUUGCCAAUCUGCUAUGCCUUGGAGGAAAAAAUUAUUUCAAUUUAAGAAAAUAGACACAGAAGCAAAAAACCGAAGUGAGCCUGGAAGGUUUGCCUAUCCGUGACAGUCUACAGAGCAGCUGCUUGUGCCUGUCACCUGCUCAGGCUCUCACAAUGACUGCAUGGGGAGGGCAGGGUGUGUGCAUUGGUUACCUGCCGUGCCCAGUGUACACUGAGGUUUGCCUAUGCCGCAGCUGGAAGGCGGCAGAACAAAGGUUCAUUCCAACCUCUAAACCUGAA